rnacentral:rRNA from 1 species
ACAGCAGUCGCCGCGGGAAUACGUAGGGUGCGAGCGUUAAUCGGAAUUACUGGGCGUAAAGCGUGCGCAGGCGGUUCGUUAAGACAGGUGUGAAAUCCCCGGGCUUAACCUGGGAACUGCAUUUGUGACUGGCGAGCUAGAGUAUGGCAGAGGGGGGUAGAAUUCCACGUGUAGCAGUGAAAUGCGUAGAGAUGUGGAGGAAUACCGAUGGCGAAGGCAGCCCCCUGGGCCAAUACUGACGCUCAUGCACGAAAGCGUGGGGAGCAAACAGGAUUAGAUACCCCCGUAGUCCCUGUCUCUUAUAC